UAUGAUGACUUCCAUUGGACAUUUUUUAAAAAAAAUACGGGGUUUAUAUAUAUUUUUACUUUUUGAGAAAAUUAGAUUAAAGCCCAGGGAAUGGAGAAGAUGGAAACAGAAAUCGCCAUGGAAGAAAUUGAAGAAGAAGCACCGAAAAAUUCAUCGUUGUUUCCCGUUUUCCCUCAAGCGCAGAUAUCUUCAGCGUCCAAUCCCACCACUUCAUACGACGCCGUUCCUGAAUGGCUUCGCAAUUCCAGCUUCACCACCGACAUCUCCGUGAUAAACGACGCCGUUAUGACGGACUACGGGAAUGUCCAGUUCCAAGAGAAUCUAGAGGAAGACGAAGGAGAAGAUGUAGAGAACAAAAAUCAGAAAGGAGAGGGUGCACCGUAUGAAUUGCUGCACUCGUCCGGGUCGGAGCGGGGACACUCGUCUUCUGAUGAUGAUGGAAGAGACUGCAAGAAGAAGAAGCGGAAAAAGAAGCGCAAGAAGAGUCAUCGAUCGAGUGAUGACCGUCCACUCUAUGACUAUGCACUUUCUGCUUCCAGAAAACCGGACGUUCGAACUUGGGCUUCUUCAACUGCUGCUAAUGUUAAAGACUAUUACUUUGACUCUCGUGGCGAUCGAGACAAUUUAGCUUUUGGUAGUAUCUACAGGAUGGAUGUUGCUCGUUACAAGCUUCAUAAUUUGAGGAAGACCUCUGAGAUCAAUAACUAUAGGCGGAACGAUAAGAGAAAUUUUGAAAGGGAUAUUGAUAUUGAUGCGUUGGAUGAUAAACUAAGGUCUGGAGGUCGCUAUUGGUCUGGGACAUAUGCUGCAAUUGAGCACCAUAAGAACCUGAAGCGUCUAAAAAUUUUGACUCCUCACAAGCCAAUGAUGAAUAUUCCAGCUGAUUUUGUCUCAUUGGCAGAUGAAGUUAAGUCAGAUGAAGGAAUCAGAGGAGAUGCUAUUUCAGGAAAUGCUGUGGUCGAGGAAUCUCUGGAGGAUGAGGUCUAUCGCAAAACAAAGGAAUUCAACAAGAUGACAAGAGAACGGCCACAUGAUGAACAAAUUUGGUUGGCUUUUGCACAGUUCCAAGAUAAGGUAGCAAGUAUGCAGCCACAGAAAGGUGCCCGUUUGCAAACACUCGAAAAGAAGAUUAGUAUUCUGGAGAAGGCUACAGAGCUGAACCCUGACAGCGAGGACCUGCUUCUCUCUCUUAUGAGUGCUUAUCAGAGCAGAGAUAGCAUUGAUGACCUGAUUAGCCGAUGGGAAAAGAUACUUAUCCAAAAUUCAGGUAGUUGCACAUUGUGGAGAGAAUUUUUGCGGGUUGUUCAGGGUGACUUCUCAAGAUUUAAGGUUUCUGAAAUGAGAAAAAUGUAUGCAAAUGCAAUUCAAGCUUUAUCUGGUGCAUGGACUAAGCAGCAUAGGCAGGUUUCUGGAGGUGCUAAUUCGCCUUCUAUGGAUCCUGCUAUUGUAAGACUUGAACUUGGUCUGGUUGAUACAUUUCUCAGUCUCUGUCGGUUCGAGUGGCAGGCUGGGUACAGAGAGUUGGCUACUGCCUUGUUUCAGGCACAGAUUGAAUACAGCUUGUUCUCCCCUUCUUUACUUCUUAGUGAGCAAAGUAAGCAAAGAUUAUUUGAGCAUUUCUGGAACAGUAAUGGUGCCAGGGUUGGGGAAGAUGGGGCACUCGGCUGGUCAAAGUGGCUAGAGAAAGAGGAAGAGCUGAGGCAAAGGGCUAUGAGGGAGGAGUCUUCACAUGCUUCUGAAAAGGGUGGUUGGACUGGUUGGUCAGAACCGUCAUCUAAAGGUAAAGAAAAGAAUGAAGCUAUAGAAAAUAUAACAGAGACUGAUGGUGCUCUUGACGAGUUAGAAGAGGAAUCUGAAAUGAAAGAUGAUGAGCAGAAAGAUGAUACUGAAGCUUUGCUUAAAAUGCUUGGUAUUGAUGCUACUGCUGAAGCUAAUUGUGAGAUUAAAGACACAAGAACUUGGACUAGGUGGUCUGAAGAAGAGGUAGCAAGAGACUCUAACGAGUGGAUGCCAGUCCAUGCUAAAACUGGGAUUUCUCAUAGUGAGGAUCCUGCUGAUGCAGAGGGUGAUGAGCAGCUUUUGAGAGUAAUAGCAUACGAAGAUUUGAGUGACUACCUGUUCUCGAUAAUUUCUGAAGAAGCAUGUUUUUCCUUGGUAUCCCAGUUCAUUGAUUUUUAUGGUGGGAGGAUGGCUCAAUGGACUUGUACGAACAGUUCAAGUUGGGCUGAAAAAUACCUUAGUUUGGAGGCAAUUCCAGAUUCUCUCUUUGAUGAACUAAGAAGAAUGCACAAUGUUUUAACCAAGGAAGGAAGGAACCGAACUGAAACAAGUUUGGAACAAGUUCUUAGCAGCUCUGGUGAUAUCUCUAUGAGGACUAGCAUGAUGAGAUUUAUUCGAAAUGCUACAUUGCUUUGCUGCACUAUAUUUCCCCAAAAUCAUAUUUUGGAAGAAGCUGUUCUUAUUGCGGAGGAGCUAUCAAAGACAGUGAUGAAUACUUCUAGCUGUUCAGUAACACCAUGUCGAACUUUAGCAAAAAGCCUUUUGAAGAGUAACCGUCAGGAUGUAUUGCUUUGUGGAGUUUAUGCACGACGGGAAGCAGUUUUUGGAAAUAUUGACCAUGCUAGAAAGAUUUUCGACAUGGCAUUGUCUUCUAUUGAUGGACUUCCACAGCAGGGUGUUCAGACAAAUGCAUCUCUUUUACAUCUCUGGUACGCUGAAGUGGAGGUCUCAAACGGUAUUCAUGGUGGUUCCGGAUCGUCUGAAUCGUCUUUACGUGCUAUGCAUAUUUUAUCUUGCUUGGGUAGUGGUACAAAAUACAGUCUGUAUAGAUGUAAACCUUCAAGCCUGCAACAGCUGAAAGCACGCCAAGGAUUCAAAGAACAAGUGAAUAUGCUACGUUCAUCAUGGACACGCGGUUUAAUUGAUGAUAAUUCAGUUGCUCUCAUAUGUUCAGCUGCUUUAUUUGAAGAAAUAACAAUUGGAUGGACUGAAGGUGUUCAGAUUUUAGAGCAAGCAUUCACAAUGGUGCUUCCUGAAAGGAGGCGGCACAGUCAUCAUUUGGAGUGUUUGUUCAACUUUUACAUGAGGAUGCUUUGCAGACAUCAUCAAGAAAUGAAGCUGUCAAAAUUAUGGGAAUAUAUAGUGACAGGACUGGAUAUAUAUCCAUGCAGUCCGAAUCUUUAUAAUGCAUUAGUCGAAAUUGGCCAUCUCUAUGCGUCACCUAAUAAGCUACGGUGGAUCUUUGAUGAGAAAUUCCAAAAGAAACCUUCACUUGUUGCUUGGCUCUUUGCAUUAUCAUUUGACAUGAGUAGAGGUGGUACAGAGCAUAGAAUACGCAGACUUUUUGAGAGGGCAUUGGAGAAUGAGAAGCUACGCAACUCAGUUUUAGUCUGGCGCUCGUAUAUUGCUUAUGAAAGUGACAUAGCAUGCAACCCUUCUGCAGCUAGAAGAGCUUUCUUUCGAGCCAUACAUGCUUGCCCGUGGUCAAAACGGCUCUGGCUUGAUGGCUUCAUCAAGUUAAGUUCUUUUCUAACAGCGAAAGAGUUGUCGGAUCUCCAGGAAGUAAUGCGGGAUAAAGAACUCAAUUUGAGGACAGAUAUUUAUGAAAUACUACUGCAAGAUGAUGUUGAAUCUUAAGUUAUGAAAUCAAGAUUUCUUGAGUUGUGGAUGGGUAACAUGCCCGUCAUAUGACACACUCAUGUUCUGCCACAUGCCUUUUUUCAGUGCGAAACUUUGAAGCACCUCGUCUUGGUUCAUUUUGGAUAAUGCUAAAUGUUGACUCAUGAACUUCUCGAGUGGCACUACCGAAAGGCCAUCAAUGUGGUUAUUAUUAUGUUAUGCAGUGAAAAAGACACCCAACCAUCCUUAAAAGAAAGCAAACUUUGCAUCGCACCACAAUUAUGUUAUGUUAUAUUACAGUAGGAGGUUUUCUGCCAGACACCAUGGGAUUGGAGAGGUUAAAUGUUCGUUCUAGUUUCAUCUGGCUUCAGGACCGCACAGACCUCAAAGUCAGUGGGAAGUUUAAACAGGAUACCCCAAUCGCUGAAAUAAAUGUAUAUCUGGGAACUUGAUUACAAUGAUCAACCGUUAAAUUACAAUCAAAAUA